rnacentral:tRNA from 2 species
GUCUCUGUGGCACAAUCGGUUAGCGCGCUUGGCUGUUAACCGAAAGGCUGGUGGUCAGAGCCCACCCAGGGACU